rnacentral:rRNA from 1 species
AGGGCACCGUGCGUGAAAUUGAGUAGGGCGGGGCACGAGAAACCCUGUCUGAACAUGGGGGGACCAUCCUCCAAGGCUAAAUACUCCUGACUGACCGAUAGCGAACAAGUACCGUGAGGGAAAGGCGAAAAGAACCCCGGAGAGGGGAGUGAAAUAGACCCUGAAACCGUAUACGUACAAGCAGUGGAAGCCCGCAAGGGUGACUGCGUACCUUUUGUAUAAUGGGUCAGCGACUUACUGUCAGUGGCGAGCUUAACCGUCUAGGGGAGGCGAAGGGAAACCGAGUCUGAAUAGGGCGCAUAGUCUCUGGCAGUAGACCCGAAACCGAGUGAUCUAUCCUUGGCCAGGUUGAAGGUGCGGUAACACGCACUGGAGGACCGAACCCACAUCUGUUGCAAUAGAUGGGGAUGAGCUGAGGAUAGGAGUGAAAGGCUAAACAAACUCGGAGAUAGCUGGUUCUCCUCGAAAGCUAUUUAGGUAGCGCCUCGGACGAAUCUUCCUGGGGGUAGAGCACUGUUAUGGCUAGCGGGUCAUCGCGACUUAGCAAACCAUGGCAAACUCCGAAUACCAGGACAGACUAUCCGGGAGACACACGGCGGGUGCUAACGUCCGUCGUGAAAAGGGAAACAACCCAGACCCGCAGCUAAGGUCCCCAAGUUAGUGCUAAGUGGAAAACGAUGUGGAAAGGCAUAGACAGCCAGGAGGUUGGCUUAGAAGCAGCCACCCUUUAAAGAAAGCGUAAUAGCUCACUGGUCGAGUCGGUCUGCGCGGAAGAUUUAACGGGGCUAAGCACUACACCGAAGCUCGGGGUGCACACUUUGUGUGCGCGGUAGAGGAGCGUUCCGUACGCCUGUGAAGGUGGAUCGAGAGGUCUGCUGGAGGUAUCGGAAGUGCGAAUGCUGACAUGA